AAUACAUGCAAGUCGAACGCUUCUUUCCUCCCGAGUGCUUGCACUCAAUUGGAAAGAGGAGUGGCGGACGGGUGAGUAACACGUGGGUAACCUACCCAUCAGAGGGGGAUAACACUUGGAAACAGGUGCUAAUACCGCAUAACAGUUUAUGUCGCAUGGCAUAAGAGUGAAAGGCGCUUUCGGGUGUCGCUGAUGGAUGGACCCGCGGUGCAUUAGCUAGUUGGUGAGGUAACGGCUCACCAAGGCCACGAUGCAUAGCCGACCUGAGAGGGUGAUCGGCCACACUGGGACUGAGACACGGCCCAGACUCCUACGGGAGGCAGCAGUAGGGAAUCUUCGGCAAUGGACGAAAGUCUGACCGAGCAACGCCGCGUGAGUGAAGAAGGUUUUCGGAUCGUAAAACUCUGUUGUUAGAGAAGAACAAGGACGUUAGUAACUGAACGUCCCCUGACGGUAUCUAACCAGAAAGCCACGGCUAACUACGUGCCAGCAGCCGCGGUAAUACGUAGGUGGCAAGCGUUGUCCGGAUUUAUUGGGCGUAAAGCGAGCGCAGGCGGUUUCUUAAGUCUGAUGUGAAAGCCCCCGGCUCAACCGGGGAGGGUCAUUGGAAACUGGGAGACUUGAGUGCAGAAGAGGAGAGUGGAAUUCCAUGUGUAGCGGUGAAAUGCGUAGAUAUAUGGAGGAACACCAGUGGCGAAGGCGGCUCUCUGGUCUGUAACUGAC
rnacentral:rRNA from 1 species